rnacentral:rRNA from 1 species
GACGAACGCUGGCGGCGUGCUUAACACAUGCAAGUCGAGCGGUAAGGCCCUUUCGGGGGUACACGAGCGGCGAACGGGUGAGUAACACGUGGGUGACCUGCCCUCAGCUCUGGGAUAAGCCCGGGAAACUGGGUCUAAUACUGGAUAUGACUCCAUGACGCAUGUUGUGGGGUGGAAAGCCUUGUGCGGCUGAGGAUGGGCCCGCGGCCUAUCAGCUUGUUGGGGGGUGAUGGCCUACCAAGGCGACGACGGGUAGCCGGCCUGAGAGGGCGACCGGCCACACUGGGACUGAGACACGGCCCAGACUCCUACGGGAGGCAGCAGUGGGGAAUCUUGCGCAAUGGGCGAAAGCCUGACGCAGCGACGCCGCGUGAGGGAUGACGGCCUGG